rnacentral:misc_RNA from 1 species
GUAGGUGAACCUGCGGAAGGAUCAUUAUUGAAAUAAACCUGACGGGUUGUUGCUGGUUCCCUAGGGAGCAUGUGCACACCUUGUCAUCUUUAUAUCUCCACCUGUGCACCUUUUGUAGGCCUUUCAGGUCUAUGUUGCUUCAUUUACCCCAAUGCAUGUUAAUAGAAUGUUGUGACUAUAAUAUCUAUACAACUUUCAGCAACGGAUCUCUUGGCUCUC